ensembl:lncRNA
GGUAGGUCAGAGCAGGGAAAGGCCCAGUUACAUGUCCUAAGAAAUUACAUCAUUUUUCUUUCUUCCACGCUUCUUUUUUUAAUACUAGAUGUACAGAAAUGAUCCAGAAGAUCCUGUAUAUUUUUCAGUGCAAUCCAUGGAGCCGCUAAUUCCACUAAAAAAAUUCAUUUCAACAGUGUUGGAAUAUGUCAUUUUACAGAAAGAAGAAACUCAGAUUUUCAUGUCAGUAUGAAGUUUGAAUAUUUAAUAUCUGUAGGAUCGUAUUUUUUUUUACACCACAAUUCAUUAUCUUUCAUUUAUCAUCAGAGUUUAUACAAAUGUUAUAUCACAUCUUCAAAUGAGCCUUUUAGAAAGCACUGACUACAUCUCACCAGAUGAAGGGAGAAGUGAGAGAACUCUCCACAUUGUUAAGGUGCAGAAGAGAUAGCAGUGUUAGCAUCUUGAUUGUGAGUACUUCUGGGAAAUACUAAGAUCCGAGGCAUCAGUUCCAGGUACCUGUCUGGAAAAGAAGAACUAUGUUCCCCAAGAGCCUUUUCGAGUACUGUUAUCAUUCCUACUCAAGGGAACAGAUAUAAGGGUGCAAGUCAUCUGUCUUGUCCCUCUUCUCAUCUCGCCGUGUUCCCUGUCGGAUCGGCUCACUACUGCUGCUGCCGACUGCACGCAAGGCUUCAGUAUUAGCGUAAGGCCUUUGGCUCUCGGACAAUCUUUCUCUCAAUUAUUGCUGAUUUAUAUUGUAUUAUAGUGUGUUAUCUUACAUUCUGAUACUAUAUUUAGUAAAUUAGUUUGUUUCUCCUCAGAUUGUUGCUGCUGUUUUUAAUUAUUUUGGGGUCCCCUGUUUCCCUUCCUGGAGGCGCGGAUUUUGUGAAAUCCCUCC